GACAGGCGAUCUGGAGAGUGCCGGAAAGGUUUCCGGCCACCGAAGGGGCACACGGAUUCUAUUCUGUCAAUCUCUCAGGUAAAAAGGACAGAGGGGCGCUA
rfam:Proteobacteria bacterium SG_bin4 574, whole genome shotgun sequence.